rnacentral:tRNA from 2 species
UGGGGGGUCGUCUAAUGGUAGGACAGUGGUCUUUGAAGCCACGAAUCUAGGUCCGACUCCUAGCCCCCCAGCUA